rnacentral:rRNA from 1 species
UACAGAGGUCUCAAGCGUUGUUCGGAUUCAUUGGGCGUAAAGGGUGCGUAGGCGGCUCGGUAAGUCGGGUGUGAAAUCUCGGAGCUUAACUCCGAAACUGCAUUCGAUACUGCCGUGCUUGAGGACUGGAGAGGAGACUGGAAUUUACGGUGUAGCGGUGAAAUGCGUAGAUAUCGUAAGGAAGACCAGUGGCGAAGGCGGGUCUCUGAACAGUUCCUGACGCUGAGGCACGAAGGCCAGGGGAGCAAACGGG